UGAGGAAUAUUGGACAAUGGGUGGAAGCCUGAUCCAGCCAUCCCGCGUGAAGGAUGGCGGUCCUAUGGAUUGUAAACUUCUUUUGUACAGGGAUAAACCUGCCCUCGUGAGGGCAGCUGAAGGUACUGUACGAAUAAGCACCGGCUAACUCCGUGCCAGCAGCCGCGGUAAUACGGAGGGUGCGAGCGUUAUCCGGAUUUAUUGGGUUUAAAGGGUCCGUAGGCGGGCCUGUAAGUCAGUGGUGAAAUCUCAUAGCUUAACUAUGAAACUGCCAUUGAUACUGCAGGCCUUGAGUAAAUUUGAAGUGGCUGGAAUAAGUAGUGUAGCGGUGAAAUGCAUAGAUAUUACUUAGAACACCGAUUGCGAAGGCAGGUCACUAAGAUUUAACUGACGCUGAUGGACGAAAGCGUGGGGAGCGAACA
rnacentral:rRNA from 1 species